CUAGUCCCACGGAUAGGCGAUUAACAAGAGAUAAAGAGGUGUGGGUCCCAGAAGCAGUACUGUUACCCCUUCUGGUUGGCGGGUACCACGUUGAAAGGUCGGGGUACGGGCCCACUGCGACUAGCACAAGGAGUGCUGAACUGAGCUAUGCAAAGUUCUGACGAGAAGGUGGAACGGUUCUUAAUGAAAAGGAUUAAGGAAUCUAAACCGGUUUCGCUAAAUUAGACACAUCUGUCUAAGCAGCCACAGCCUGUUCGCAGCAGGGGCGGGAAGACAAACCAACGCCCCAGCUCUCCAUUCAGUCACCGGCAACUCAGCUCUGGACUAGACGCACUCUACGAAGAUACCCGGGUUUCCGGAGCAACCGCCCGAGCCCUCCCCCUUUAGCCCCGCCUCCGAGUCUCUUUCCCGCCAAAGGCCGUUAUCGCCGCAGAGCAUGGUGGGACAAGGCUUUAGGCUAGGUUUCACCAAGUCCUUUGAAGGCGCCGAGUUGCUUUCAAAGCUCCUCAUUCCUGGGGAAAUUGACUAUCCUUCAAGACCCGACCUGGAUGACUAGCUCCUUUAACGAGAGUUCUUUAUUUAACUUUUACCAAACGGCUGCUCACUCUAUUCGCAAACCACCCCAAGCGGGGAACGCGGGGGACUUUUUUUCCCCCUUCGUGCGGAGGGUGACGUCGCGCGUGCGUGCGCGUGCGUUGCGCGUAUCCCUCGCAGCAUCCGUUGCGCUCCCGCGCGUGCGUGUUGGGAUCGAAUCGCUGUUUCCUUCCGCUUCUCUUCCUCUGUCUCCCCCCCAUAUCCGUGCGCCGAGCUGAUAAAGGCGCCAUUUUGGAGGGGCCGCGGGAGACGUGGUGCCGCUGCGGGCUCGCUCUGCGGUGCGCUAGGCUUGGUGGGAAGGCCUGUUCUCGAGUCCGCGCUUUUCGUCACCGCCAUGUCGGGAGGUGGUGUGAUUCGUGGCCCCGCAGGGAACAACGAUUGCCGCAUCUACGUGGGUAACUUACCUCCAGACAUCCGAACCAAGGACAUUGAGGACGUGUUCUACAAAUACGGCGCUAUCCGCGACAUCGACCUCAAGAAUCGCCGCGGGGGACCGCCCUUCGCCUUCGUUGAGUUCGAGGACCCGCGAGACGCGGAAGACGCGGUGUAUGGUCGCGACGGCUAUGAUUACGAUGGGUACCGUCUGCGGGUGGAGUUUCCUCGAAGCGGCCGUGGAACAGGCCGAGGCGGCGGCGGGGGUGGAGGUGGCGGAGCUCCCCGAGGUCGCUAUGGCCCCCCAUCCAGGCGGUCUGAAAACAGAGUGGUUGUCUCUGGACUGCCUCCAAGUGGAAGUUGGCAGGAUUUAAAGGAUCACAUGCGUGAAGCAGGUGAUGUAUGUUAUGCUGAUGUUUACCGAGAUGGCACUGGUGUCGUGGAGUUUGUACGGAAAGAAGAUAUGACCUAUGCAGUUCGAAAACUGGAUAACACUAAGUUUAGAUCUCAUGAGGGAGAAACUGCCUACAUCCGGGUUAAAGUUGAUGGGCCCAGAAGUCCAAGUUAUGGAAGAUCUCGAUCUCGAAGCCGUAGUCGUAGCAGAAGCCGUAGCAGAAGCAACAGCAGGAGUCGCAGUUACUCCCCAAGGAGAAGCAGAGGAUCACCACGCUAUUCUCCCCGUCAUAGCAGAUCUCGCUCUCACAUAUCUGAAGAGAUGGAUUAAGAAUGCUUUGGAUUAAGGAUUGUGGAGCACAUUUCAAUCAUUUUAGGAUUGUCAAAAGGAGGAUUGAGGAGGAUCAGAUCAAUAAUGGAGGCAAUGGUUUGGAUUGGAGAGGGCUCACUGGAUCCCAAUCCUUGGAGCUGGAUCAUUGGAUUCAAAUCAUAAUGUGGAUAGGAUAGGGAGGAUGAAUUACCAGGAUUCAUGGAGCGGGAUCAGAUUACCAGGAACAUAGGAGUGGAUUCCUGCCCCAACCAAACCGCAUUCGUGUGGAUUUUUUUAUUCAACUUAAUUGGCUAUUCCAAAGAUUUUUUUUUUCCUAUUUUUGACGAUUGGAGCCCUUAAGAUGCACGAUGGAAUUGUGUUUUGCGUUUUUUGGUAAAAGGAGCAAAGCGAGGACCUGGAGAUAAACGCUGGAGCAAUCUCCUUGGAAGGAUUCAGCACGAGUAGAUGGUAAACAUUUAAAGGGGAAAGGGGGGGUUUGUUUAAAAUAGUAAAUCAGUAAGUCACUUCUAAAUUUAAAGAAAACAAAAUUGGAGUUGAAGAAUAAGUAGGUUUCCAAUUGGCUAUUGCCGUUUUUCUUUGAAAAAAUAAACAUUUUUUAAAAAACUAUGCAUGGUUGUCCUUUUUCCUCUUCAUGUAAGAUUCUAACUGGGUCUAUCAGUUAAUCUUUAAAUUGUUAAGUAAGAUAAGAUUUUGACUCUUGUAUUAAUGUGUUAGCAAAUUAAAAGUUCUUAAAAGGCACUAUAAUGGUAUUAGCCAUCUUUUAUUGUUAAUUGUAAAAGUCUUCAGGGGAAGGCAAAAGGGGAGAAUAAGGCAUUUGUGUAUGUAACUUGGUAAAUGAUGGUGGGGGGUUGGAUCUAGCAUCUGAAAGAUAAGCUUCUCUACUUUGUUAUAAAUUGGUUAAAAAACUGUAGAUGCUGCUUAUUUUCUGGUGGUCAUAGACAACAUAGGCUUUUGUGCAAAGUUGGUUGAUGGCUAGUAAAUUAAUGUUCACUUGGAGAUAGCUUUUGAUAUUUUCAAUGAAACUCAUCUCAAAAAAAGGUAAGUAUUAAAUGUUAACAUCAGCACAGAGGUAUUAGAACUGUUUUUUGUUUUUGAGACAGAGUCUCGCUUUAUUCCCCAGACUGGAGUGCAGUGGUGUAAUCUGAGCUCACUGCAACCUCCACCUUCUGGAUUCGAGUGAUUCUCGUGCCUCAGUCUCCCGAGUAGCUGGGAUUACAAGUGUGUGCCACACUUGCCUGGCUAAUUUUGUAUUUUUAGUAGAGGUGCAGUUUCUCUGUGUUACCCAGGCUGGUCCCAAAACUCCUGGCCUCAAGUGAUCUGCCUUCCUUGGCCUCCCAAAGUGUUAGGAUUACAGGUGUGAGCCACCAUGCUCGGCCUGUAGAACUUUUAACACAAGUCACAUUUCUUUUUUGAAAGGGAAAGUGUGUACAAGAUUAACUGCUUCUUUGGAUGAAUCGUUGCUAAUAAAAAGCUGGGCAUUUAGAAUUUUGACUUACAAGCCCUUCUCAACCAUAAGAUUAUUUUGUACCUAAAACUUUGGUGUUCUCUACCAAAGCAGUCGUUAAAAACUUGUAGUCUGCUACUUUUUGUAUUUGUCUACUGACAGCCUCCGAUACUAUUUAGGUUGGGGGAGGGGACCUAAAAUAAGUAACUAGACUUUAACAUUUCCCUCGGGUGCUAAUCAUAGUUGGAAGUUGAAUUUAAGGUGAUUAUUCGGGUGGCAAUUAAAAACCUAGGGAAAACCAGAAAUCUUAGUAGUGGAAGAAAUGUGUAAGGUUACCCCAAUCAGAUUUUAAUGAACGUUGUGGAAUGUUGGGAAGAGGGGAUGUUGAAUGCAGAAUUUCACUAAGUAAAGUACUUAGUUUAAAUUAUUAAGGAUGUAGCUCUUUUUAUGUAAGAAUUUAAUAUAAUGGCCAAAAGGCAGAUUUACUGUUUAAAAUUUGAAUAAUUUUACAUGACAUUCUUGAAGUUCUAAAUUCUGUUUUAUGUGUAGAACAUUUUUAAAAUUCAGAUUAUUAAAGGGAAAAUAAAUGAUUAAUGAUCAUUUUGUAAGGUUAAUGUGAGCUAGACUUAAGCAAACUUUGGUUCAUUUGUGUUCAUUGAAUGUUUUGGAAACCACCAAAAAAUGUAAAUGGCCUUCACUCAAGUUUGAGUGUUUAAAGUUGAAAGAUGUGCUCUACUAAAAGUUACAGUAAUUCUAACUUCACAUUGAAAUGAGACAGCAUUCCUUGUUAUACAGGCUGAAUUUGAAGAUUAGAGAGGACCUCAUGUUUACUUAUGAAAGGUAAAGGGGCAUAGAUUUUGUAGUUAAGAUGACCAGACAGCUAAAAGCUGUGAUGGGAAGUAUGGACUGCUCCUAUUUAUAGUUUCAGAAAAUGGACCUUUAGGUCUCUAUCCAUAUUGGCAAUUAUUAAAGUCACACCCUUUUGAAACUACAAAAGCUGUCUUGGAAUUUCCCCUUCUUCUCCCUAUUUAUGUCCCCUUAGAAUGUUUUAGGGAGCCUAUAAUUAUUUUCUAACCAAGGAAAAACUUAAGUCUCUUUAAGAAGCAAUUACUUUUCAUAACAUCAGAUUGAAUAACCCACCUUGCUGUUCAGCCCACAUCCUACUGGAAACAAAAGGUAAGAAACCCAUUUUCUGGUUCCUGAUUGUUUGGGUCUGAAUUUUGUUUUUAAAACGAAGCUAAGUUUAAUAUUUUCAAAAAUGCUGUUUGGAAUAUGUGAAUAGAUUCCCCAUAAAAUGGUUUUUCCUGUUUUAUGCUUUAGAAAAUAUUCAGUGCUCACGUCUGCGCAUCAUAGUGCUUGCAUUUAAUAUGAUUUGUUGUAGAAUCUCAACUUUUCUUGGUGUUGCCUUUGAAACAUUGUCUUGGUCAUUAGGGCUGGUGUUUUCACAUUUCUGUGGUCAAGGUGAAUUUCUUAUGUGUGCCUUUUUGCUUACUUUGUAUAUGAAUUUUGUAAUUUAAAUUGCAAGUAAGUUAUAUAUAUGUAUUUACCAUAAAUAGUAUUAAAAGAUGAGAAACUGUUAGACUGAAGUUCUGUUGUAACAUAACCACUCUUAUUUCCAUCACAGUAUGAAGAGUGCAAACGCAGAAAACAGAUUACAGUCUCUUAUCCAUUUUUUGAAAUCCAAAAACUAUAUGAAAACGAAAGAUUUUCUGUUGUUGAGCUAAUUAAAUGUGAAACCUGACCAGAAUUGCUGCCUUCAUUUUGCACUUAGUGUGACUAAACUGUUUCCUGUUGAACUUCAUUAUUCAUUGCACAGUUGCCACAGACUUUGCUGAGGGUUUUAUGUAAUACAGGGUAUAUAUGUACCUUAUAAAGUGCAUACAGCUCUGAAUCCCAGAUAUGUCUCCCUCCAAAGAGUUCAUAUAAGGGAGUGUACUAGCAUACACAGGCCUAGUGCUUUUGUCUGUAACUGGGGUGUCUUGACUGAAAAACCUAUUAUUGUGAAUCCUUUAUUGAUUGAAUUUUAAGUUCCCCCAUCUUUUUAGGCUGAAGCAGCCACAAGAAAAAAAGGUACGGCCCACAUUUCUUUACAUUCUGUUGUAUUAGUGGACUCAACAAUUAUAUCCCAUUGAAGCAAAUACUCAGGCAUCCUAGAGUGUACAAUACAACAUUCUUUUGAGUUAUUGUUUCUGUAUCAGUACUUACAGGAACACUGACCAGUUAGAUCCUAUAGGAAAAGCUGGGAUUGGCAUGAAGUAAAGAGAUUAUAAGGAAACAUCUGUUCAUUGUGUCUAUUGUGAUUGUCUAUUGAAUAAAUAGUAAUGCUACCAAGGUAACUUUUGCUUUAAACAUGGACCCCAAGAGAUUAUAGUAUACUUAAACCAGUACUUAUUCCUGUUAUUGAGACCUUUGGAAUGCUUCUUGGUAGCUUUGAAAGCUAAUGCCUAACAAUCCUGAGGGUGGUUGUGAGCUUGUAGUGAUUAAAGGAAGGAUUUUUUAUUAUAAAAAUCACUCCGUGCUUCAUUAAUGCACAGAACAAAAAUUGAAUAAAUGACUCUGUCACAUAUAAGUUAACUUAGGCAGAUACAACAUUUGUAGUUUACAACAUUUUAAUAGGUGCUAGGCUGGGAUUUCAGGGGGUGAAAAGUCAUAUGACUUUUCAUAAGAAGUUUAAUACUUAGGUAAGCAAAACAGAACACUUAGUUUAGCUUGACACUCAAGCAUCGGGUUAAAAAGCAUCAAACUUCUGUCACCAACUUCUAAGUGCCAACUAUUGGUAGAACUGUGGACAUGAAGAUAGUGGAAACAGCUUUUCUAGGAUACUAUACUCAUCUCCACCAAAUGCACUUUGAACAAAAACAACUUGUAGAAAUAUGUCUGUCUUUUUUUUUUUUUUUU